GCCAGUACUUCUCUCAUCUAAGAAUGGCAUAUUAAAAUUUGUGAUUCAAGAUGAUUAUCAUUCAGAGUCUAGCCAAAGGUUUUGAUUUUGUUUUCCUGUAGAACAGGAUAACCCAACAAAAAAAUUAAGAGUGAGAGAGGAUAGGAGAGUUUUAGGGGGGAUAUUUAACAAUGUAGUUAUGUUUGAUAUAAGAUUUCUACCAAACUCGCAUAAUGUGGUUGAUGCAUGUAGAAGCAAAA
rnacentral:misc_RNA from 1 species